CGCGGCCCGGCCCGCCCGGAGCCGCCGUGUGCUGAUGGCUCUGCAAACAAUUCCAGGGCUGAGGGCACGGGUGCCAACGCCUUGGAAAGGCGUCUUAAGGUCUCCACCAACUUCUAGCCACGGGUUUGUUACAGAGCCCAGUCUGAGUGUGAAACUGGCAAAUGGCUCGGCGCAAGCCUGAGUUUCCCAACUCUGGGGGAAAUGACAGAAACCUGGAGAGAGGAAACCCUGCGGCCGUGCUCUCUCUCCCUUUAUGGGAAUGAAGUUGCAGGUGUAUGGAAAAUCACACUGUGAAAAGGCAGACUGUCCGGGUUCUGUAACAAACCUGUGGCUUCAAGUUGGUAGAGACAUUGGCAUUGAGAAUGUCAAUUUCAGAGACAUGAACACCCAUCCCCUCACCCAUGGAAUUGUUUGUAAAGACAUAAGCACGCAUCUUUCCUGUCAUCAGCACACAAAGCAAGCAGCGCCCAGGGCUGGGAACGGCCCUCAUGCGAAAGGAGAGCUCUGCAACCUCCAGAAGAAGCAGAUACCAGCACAGAAAACAGAGGUGGUCUCAUACACUGAUAAAAACCACUAAAGCUUGACCAGCAAAGGCACAGGUAACUGGAAAGAUUUUAAGAUGCUUCACCUGAAGACAUCCCACAAAUGUCCCAAUACAAAUACACAGCAUUUUCAAAAGGCUCCUGAAGGAUGCAGAGCCCAGCUCAUGCAUCUGAGUGGGAAGGGGGGGAUAAAUGCCCAGUUUCCUGUAAAUUAAUUCCUCCUCCUCAGCCUGGUUCUCUCUCCCUGCCCUUUCUUUAGUUGAUUAUCCAUUCUGCCUUGGGUUCUAUGUAGAUCUUUUCACUUAAGCAAAGCUAAUGUAAUUGAGGACUACAAGUGGAACCUUCCUUUCCUGGUGGCAAUAAAGUUUUCAUUAUGAAUACCUCCUGGU